UGUCGCUCAACGGAUAAAAGGUACCCCGGGGAUAACAGGCUGAUCUUCCCCAAGAGUCCAUAUCGACGGGAUGGUUUGGCACCUCGAUGUCGGCUCGUCGCAUCCUGGGGCUGGAGUCGGUCCCAAGGGUUGGGCUGUUCGCCCAUUAAAGCGGUACGCGAGCUGGGUUUAGAACGUCGUGAGACAGUUCGGUCCCUAUCCGCUGUGCGCGUAGGAAUAUUGAGAAGGGCUGUCCCUAGUACGAGAGGACCGGGACGGACGAACCUCUGGUGUGCCAGUUGUCCUGCCAAGGGCAUGGCUGGUUGGCUACGUUCGGAAAGGAUAACCGCUGAAAGCAUCUAAGCGGGAAGCCUGCUUCGAGAUGAGUAUUCCCACCCUCUUGAGGGGUUAAGGCUCCCAGUAGACGACUGGGUUGAUAGGCCAGAUGUGGAAGCCCGGUAACGGGUGGAGCUGACUGGUACUAAUAGGCCGAGGGCUUGUCCUCAGUUG
rnacentral:rRNA from 1 species